GGAGGAGCGUCGUUUCCGGUGAAGCGGCAGGACUUCAAAUCCUGUUGAGGUUGCCAGCAAUCUCGGGUGGGUUCGACUCCCAUUCUCCUCCGCCA
rnacentral:tRNA from 9 species